GCCCGGUGCACUGGCCCCAAGUGACUUAUGAGCGUCUGAAAUGUGGCUGUUGUGAAUCCAAGUGUUCUUGAAGUCGAUACCAGACUCCUGGAAAGCAGGCUUCCCAAAGUACAGCAAAGGUGCAGAUCUGACACCCCACACGAAGCAGAAGGGGUAGGCACCAAGCACAGUUGGAAAGAGCCCUGGCAGAGUUCCACUGGGAAUUUGAAAAAAGAAAUGUGUGCCCGCAGGAUUCCUAGCUCUUCCUUUUUCAAUGUUGGCUUCACAGCAGUGAUCAUGUCAAGCAAGUAUUAUUCAGCAGCCCCAGCCGGGUUAGUGUGUAAGGACUUGAACAGAUGCACAGAACAAAGGAACACCCCAUGGAAAUGUGGGGCAAAGCCUGGGACCCUCAGUCCAAAGUAGGAACUCCUGCCCCUCCCUUUAAGCACCUUAAAAUCAAUGAAAGGAGCACUGUAGCAAUAAAGAAUGAGGAGGAGUUUCACAUUCAAAAUCAUUUUGUUGGCUUGACAUCUAUCUCAACCACAACCGGGAGGUCGGUUUUUUUCUAGUUGACUUACUUCCUGAAGAUCUGAACAGAAUUGAAAGAUGAAAGAUCACAGUGCUGUCUCAUCACCAUGCACGCCUCUCUCUGACAAGCACGGAGACAUUUGGGCUCAUGGUUCCUUCCCAUUUGAUUUAUUAUGCUCUUUGACUCUGGGACAAAACCCCACAAACUCAUCUCUUAAUUACAUAGGCUGUUUUUGGGUUGUGAACAAAACAACAAGUGUAUUUUCUCCCCAUAUGGGUUGAAAUCUCCCGUGUGAUGUCCAGCUUUACCAUAAUACUGCGGGCUGGCUGGUUUACUUCCUGGCACUGCCAUCAGCCAGAAUGUGCUGGUGCAUCACAUUGUCUAACUCCCGGGCACCCUAUGGCCUUCCAGCUCACAGCCUUCCCUUCCUCAACAAGUGUCUCCACAUGGCAGUCCCGUGGGUGACCCAGCCAUCUCACGGGACCUGAGCCCCAUGGCUCUAGCUUCCUUCCCCUUUGUGUCACUUCAGGACUCAUAUUCACAGCUAAACCAGGGAUCUCGUGAUGGGCUGAACUGCACCUGCUGCUGUGUCUUGCUCAUUUCCCACAGAUGAUGCCAACCAUGGGGUAGCCACAUCUUAUCAGCUUUUAUGAGGAACAGUUGUACAGUCAACAGCAAGAUGGUGGAAUCCUGGUUGUCCCUGUGUUGGGUAAACCUCCUAAGAGCUUGCAGGGAAGAUGGAUUUGAAAUCCUUGAAUUAAUUCAUGCUCUUUUCUUGAAAUACAGUGAGUUGUGGUAACUUCCUGGAGAGCAGGGUCUCUGCCUGUUGCUCGUUUUCCUUCCCAUUGAGCCCCUUGCAUGGAUUUGAGUAUUUUCAGUGCUGAUUUCAUUACUGGAACUUGGCUCGAAGUCCCAGGAGCUCAGAAGAAAGGUCUUUGGAUGCUUCGUGUUGAAUUCUGUUUCUCUUCCCUGGUACGCAGACAGGGUGGGGAGGGGAAGCAAGAAAAACUAAGCAGACUGUUCAUUGGUGUCACUUUUGCACUAUUUUUCAUCUGCUUGGGGACAACGGUAUCUGUUCCAAAGGGACAGAAUGGGAAAUUUAAUUAAUGUAUUUAAAAUUCAAACCCCAAAUACAAAGAUAUGUGAGCCUUAAGAAAACUAGCUCUUCGAAUCCAAAUUCACAAGGAAAUUAUUGUAUCAGGAUGAGGAUGAAUUUACCUAUUGUGCUUGAUGGAAUUUGCCUGAGGAAAGAACCAGCCUUCCUGCUAGAUGUCAGUCCAACACUGAACGGCAGAUUGAAGCUUGUUGGAUGAUUACAGAAUCGAAGCAUUAUGGUCCUCACCCUUCCUAAGGGGCAUUUUAAUUCUCUAUAAUGGAUUAAUUGCCUUAAUUUUCCUUCAGGGAGUUUUUACACCUAUAAACUGGUCUGUUCCAUCACCUGGAAUCAGACCGUUUCCGCCCUUUGGCAAAGCUGGUUGCAAGGGCUUACUAUUUCUUCCCCUCAGAUUCAAUGUCAACUGCUGCUUAUUCAAUAGCUAAAUAAGUAAAUAUGUGUGUGCAUGUAUGUGUGUAUGUUUGCAUAGCUUUAUUGAUCUAUAAUUUACAUAUCAUAAAAAUUUGAUAUUUUGCAUAUACAUGAGUACAAAUUUAAUAGCACUUAGAUUUAUGGAAUCAUGGAGCUACCAGCACAAUUCUGUUUUAGAACAUUUCCAGCCCUCACAAAGCUUCCUCUUAACCCCUCCCAGUUAAUUCACACGUUCACCCCUCCCCUGGGCAACCACUGGUCUGCCUCUGUCCCUGGAGAUUUGUCUUUUGCAGACAUUUCCUGUAAGGGGAAAAUAUAAUCUGUAGAGUUAUUUUCUGUCUUUUUAUUUCAUUAACAUCAUGUUCUCGAGGUUGGUCAAGUUGUAGCAUGUGUCAUUCUUUUUUAUUGCUGAAGGGAUUCUACUGUGUGGUUGUACUCUGGUUGGUUGCAAAAAGCUUAUUUUUGAAUAGAAACUAACACCUGGAUCGAUAGAUUGGGAGUCCAGAGAAAAUCUGAGACAUGUCACCUGCUCUGAAGGUCCUUAACAUUGCAUUGG